ACCGGGACUAUGUUAGCCACUCAUUCUGGAUAUUUAGAGGCUUGUAGGAAACCAGCAUCAAAUUGCUUCUUGACUUCGUCUUUUAUCUUUAACAACAUCUCAGGCCUCAUCCGUCUUAGUUUUUGUUGAAUGGGCUUGCAUUCUGGCUUUAAUGGGAGCUUAUGGACCGCUACAUCUUCAUCCAAUCCUGGCAUGUCCUGAUAUGACCAUGCGGAUACAUCUUUUUACUCGCGGAGCAAAGCAAUCAAAUUAUGCCUAGUGCCC
rnacentral:lncRNA from 1 species